GAGGUUCUGUCUUAGGUUACUUUGAAAGUGUCUGGCCCUGGCGUAUUGCAUCCCUCCCAGGCUCACAGUCUGACUUGCUCAUUGUGUUUUCACUGAGCACUUCUGGUAGGACCAUGAUUCAUCAGCCUUCAGGGAAAGGUUUGACAACAAUUUGUUGGAAUUAUGAUAAGUGCUACAACACAUCUAUUAAGAGUCAGCUCACAGUCUCCAAGGACACCUCAAACAACCAAGCAUUACUCCAGAUCAUCAAUGUGGACACUGCAAAUACUGACACAUACUACGGUGCCUCAGUUUU